rnacentral:rRNA from 1 species
UGGGGAACCUGCCCCAUAGUCUGGGAUACCACUUGGAAACAGGUGCUAAUACCGGAUAAGAAAGCGGAUCGCAUGAUCAGCUUUUAAAAGGCGGCGUAAGCUGUCGCUAUGGGAUGGCCCCGCGGUGCAUUAGCUAGUUGGUAAGGUAAAGGCUUACCAAGGCGAUGAUGCAUAGCCGAGUUGAGAGACUGAUCGGCCACAUUGGGACUGAGACACGGCCCAAACUCCUACGGAGGCAGCAGAC